rnacentral:rRNA from 1 species
AGCGAACGCUGGCGGCAGGCUUAACACAUGCAAGUCGAGCGGACCUUUCGGGGUCAGCGGCGGACGGGUGAGUAACGCGUGGGAACGUGCCUUCCGGUUCGGAAUAACCCUGGGAAACUAGGGCUAAUACCGGAUACGCCCUUAUGGGGAAAGGUUUACUGCCGGAAGAUCGGCCCGCGUCUGAUUAGCUAGUUGGUGGGGUAACGGCCUACCAAGGCGACGAUCAGUAGCUGGUCUGAGAGGAUGAUCAGCCACACUGGGACUGAGACACAGCCCAGACUCCUACGGGAGGCAGCAGUGGGGAAUAUUGGACAAUGGGCGCAAGCCUGAUCCAGCCAUGCCGCGUGAGUGAUGAAGGCCCUAGGGUUGUAAAGCUCUUUUAUCCGGGACGAUAAUGACGGUACCGGAGGAAUAAGCCCCGGCUAACUUCGUG